UUUUUUUUUGGUUUAAUAAGUUUUAGCACACUUACAUUUUAUUUCCUUUAGUUUUUCCGAGCUAUAUAAAAUGCAAAGAAAAGUAGUCGACCAUCAUAUAUAGAUGUUUGCAUAUUUGAUUCAUAAUUUUUUUGUUCGUUUUUUUGUCGAAUGAAUGUAAAAAAAUUUCAACCAAAAAACCUUCGUAUAAUAAAUGUGAUAUUAAGUUCAUGUGCCAAAAAUAUUGGCGAAUAAAAAAUCCCCAAUCAAAGCUAAUAACUCUGAGUACCAAGCCAAACUCGGAGACUUGCAAGUCUAUUCCGGAUAAUACGAUCAAUGAAGGUAGACAUGAGUGUAGGAUUGCGUGCCUUGUUCCCAAUGUUAACACCUAUUUUUCUCAAAUCAGAUAGAGUGCAUACACACACAUACCUCAAUAUGAACCUCACUGUAAGUCGCAAUCUGGAAUCCAACAUCUUAUCAUAGUACGAUAUAUCAUAGUGAUCUUAAAGUAAUCCUUGCAAUGCUUCCCCAAACCUGAGAGGAGUAAGUACAAAGAAAGAAUAUAAAGUCUUUAAAUUCAAUUGGUGCUCGACAAAAAACACACCGAGUAUCCACAUACGUGUUCCACAAACUCAUUCUGUCGUCGCCCUUUCUAAAACGAUUAUGCAUUGCAAGCCACACUUGUAAGAAUAUUUCAUUCUAUGUGGCCUAUGUGUCUUUCGGUUUAAUUAUAAAGUUCAAGUUUAUAUUAAAGUUAAGAAUUCU
rnacentral:lncRNA from 1 species